rnacentral:rRNA from 1 species
UACAGAGGUCCCGAGCGUUGUUCGGAUUCAUUGGGCGUAAAGGGUGCGUAGGUGGCGCCGUAAGUGGGGUGUGAAAUCCCGGGGCUUAACCCCGGGACUGCAUUCCAUACUGCGGUGCUUGAGGACUGGAGAGGAGACUGGAAUUUACGGUGUAGCAGUGAAAUGCGUAGAUAUCUGGAGGAACACCGGUGGCGAAGGCGGCAUCCUGGACCGGUAUUGACGCUGAGGCGCGAAAGCUAGGGGAGCAAACGGG